GAACUGAGGUUGGAUAGGAGCUGGAGCUAGAAGAGAGGCUGAGUCUAAAGGGGUCUUGUGUGAUGCCUGCAAUUUGAUGGGUAGAGCAGCCAAUGAAGAAGAGCGGCACGCUGAAGAGCAGACACAACAGCGAGCCGAGGAGGCAGAGGGCACUGCACUGCACCGGGCUCAGGUGGAGGCGCUUGACUAAGACACCUCCCAUCAUGAUGCCCACGAUGACCAGAGGGAUAGUGAGGCAGCCAAGGAGCAUGUUGGCAAAGGAGGCUGUGAUGGAAAACUGGCGUUCCAGGAACUUAGGCAGGAAGGUGGCCAUGCCCGCUACCAUGGAUGAGGUGCACACCUGGGACAGGACUACCAGCAAGAAGAUGGGGUGGCGCAGAUUCCGC
rnacentral:lncRNA from 1 species